rnacentral:rRNA from 1 species
UGGGGAAUAUUGGACAAUGGGCGCAAGCCUGAUCCAGCCAUGCCGCGUGAGUGAUGAAGGCCCUAGGGUUGUAAAGCUCUUUCACCGGUGAAGAUAAUGACGGUAACCGGAGAAGAAGCCCCGGCUAACUUCGUGCCAGCAGCCGCGGUAAUACGAAGGGGGCUAGCGUUGUUCGGAUUUACUGGGCGUAAAGCGCACGUAGGCGGACUUUUAAGUCAGGGGUGAAAUCCCGGGGCUCAACCCCGGAACUGCCUUUGAUACUGGAAGUCUUUAGUACGGUAGAGGUGAGUGGAAUUCCGAGUGUAGAGGUGAAAUUCGUAGAUAUUCGGAGGAACACCAGUGGCGAAGGCGGCUCACUGGACCAUUACUGACGCUGAGGUGCGAAAGCGUGGGGAGCAAACAGG